rnacentral:rRNA from 1 species
CUGAAAUUCGCCUGCGUGAAGUUGGAAUUGCUAGUAAUCGCGGAUCAGCAUGCCGCGGUGAAUACGUUCCCGGGCCUUGUACACACCGCCCGUCACACCAUGAGAGUCGGGAACACCCGAAGUCCGUAGUCUAACCGCAAGGAGGGCGCGGCCGAAGGUGGGUUCGAUAAUUGGGGUGAAGUCGUAACAAGGUACC